AUGCGCCUAACUAAAACGCCGAAAGGCAGUGCAGCCCAAUCCGUUGCUUUGCUUGUUGGGUCAGGUAGUUUACUGAAACCCUUGAAUUCGGAAUAUGGGAAAGUCGCCCCGGGUUGGGGGACUACUCCUUUUAUGGGGAUCGCAAUGGCUUUAUUCGCUAUAUUCCUAUCUAUCAUUUUAGAAAUUUAUAAUUCUUCCGUUUUACAAACAGAGUGUCACUAG
rnacentral:rRNA from 1 species